AAAAAGAUAGCUCAGUCGGUAGAGCAUUAGGCUUUUAACCUAAGGGUCCAGGGUUCAAGUCCCUGUCCGGGCGGAAAUUUUA